CACGACUACAUUAGAUACCCCCGUAGUCCUAGGCGUAAAUGAUGCGAGUUAAGUGUGGGGGCAUCUACGAGAUGGCCCUGUGCUGUAGGGUAGCCGUUAAACUCGCUGCCUGGGGAGUACGGUCGCAAGGAUGAAACUUAAAGGAAUUGGCGGGGAGCACCGCAACGGGAGGAGCGUGCGGUUCAAUUGGAUUCAACGCCGGACAACUCACCAGGAGCGACGGUUACAUGAAGGCCAGGCUGAUGACCUUGCCUGAUUUUCCG
rnacentral:rRNA from 1 species